AGACAACACAGAUGUUGCUCCAAAGAACCUUUCUAAACAGGUAUUUAAUUUGAAGAGCUGUCAGCUGUGGGCUGUCCUUACAGUGGAAUGUCACUCAGUCUUUUGACACGUGCUGCACGAAGGGACCCUGAGGACACCAAGCUAAGUGCAAAAAGACAGGACAGCCAGCGCUGACGGCAGUGAGUCAUAGCGAGCGUUUGUUCAGUGAAUGAAGAAGGAACUGAGGAAGAAAGGACCAGAAGGCUUACCUCAAAACCUUCAGCUGUCCUUCUUCCUGAUGUCAAGGCAGUUGACCUUAAUUUCUGUGUGAUCCCAGUGUUCUGCACAGAACACUAAUUGAUUUUCGGAAUAAAGUAUAUAGAGCACGC
rnacentral:sRNA from 1 species